UUUUUUUUUUUUUUUUUUGAGACGGAGUCUGGCUUUGUCGCCCAGGCUGGAGUGCAGUGGCCGGAUCUCAGCGCACUGCAAGCUCCGCUCCUGGGUUUACACCAUUCUCCUGCCUCAGCCUCCCGAGUAGCAGGGACUACAGGCGCCUGCCACCUCGCCCGGCUAGUUUUUUGUAUUUUUUUAGUAGAGACGGGGUUUCACCGUGUUAGCCAGGAUGGUCUCGAUCUCCUGACCUCGUGAUCUGCCCGUCUCGGCCUCCCAAAGUGCUGGGAUUACAGGCCUGAGACACCGCGCGUGGCCCAAGGGGCUAUUUUUUUUGUUAAAAAAGUUUUUGCCACAAUGAGCCACUCAUUUAAGGCCCUAGGAUUCCUCACUUCUGAGCUCCUGCUGCCAUAGACCAAGUGCUGGUCAUUUUUGUUGCUCAACAUACUUGUCACUUCCAUCCAUCACAGGACCCACUCUGACCUUCCAGGACUGCUCCUUCCACUGCCUGUGAUCCUGAGGGUCAGCACGUCCAGCCAGGCCAAGUAGCGAGAUCAGUCCUCUCCUCUGCCCCAGUUCAUGGAUGGGUACAGGAUGCGGGUGGUGGGGGUAGUCCACCCGGUUCCUGCUAAUACUACUGGAUCAUCAGGUGGGGAAAGUCAGCUUGCAUAGUGAAACCAAAGAGAGCUGCGAGAUGGAGAGUGAGAGUGAGAAACCAAGAGAGUGAGACACACACACACGCAGAGAGAGAAAGAAAGAAAGAAAGAAAGAAAGAAAGAAAGAAAGAAAGAAAGAAAGAAAGAAAGAGCAGAGAGAGAGACAGAAAAGUCAGAGAAGCAGAGACACAGAGAGACAUGGAAAGAUGGAGAAAGAAAUGAGGGGAAGAGAGAGACACAGACACACACAGAGUCUUGAAAAGAGACAAAGAGAGACAGAGCAACCAGGAGAGAGGCACAGAGAGGGAGAAACAGAGACAGACAAAGUGAGAGGCAUAGAGAGAUGGAAAGAGAGAUGGGGAGAGGGACAGAAAGAGGGAAGCAAAAGCACAACAUUCCUUGAAUUGCUUCUGCCUGAAGUCAUCAUUCUAUUUCUGCACUUCCAGUUGCCACCAAGAAUCUUUCUAAGUCACCUGUCCUCCUUCCUUGCCCAUCUUCCUCACACACUCUUACGAAAGCCUCCUGAAAUCUGCCUUCCCAAUGACAACUCCUCCUUGAAAUGUCACCACUGACUUCCAAACAACCAACAAAUAAAAAAGGUUUUUAAAACAAUUACUUCCACCAGUUUCUCAGUUUAACUAAAGUUAUGGUGCUGUUUCUUAAUACCUCUCUCAAAAAUCUUUCUCUUUGUUUUUUAUUUCUUUGCAUAAAGUAACAUGAAAAUAGAGCACAACAUAUUAUAGUGAAUAUAGAC
rnacentral:lncRNA from 1 species